ACAGUAGACUUACCUGCAGGAAGAGGAACAAGCUCCCAAGUGUCACUUGCAUGUAAAACAGACAUCUUGUCAAUCAUAGCAUGUCGCCAUCCUGGAUGAGAUAGUGCCUCACCUGUAGACUUAGGGAUAGAAACAGUGGACAAACAAGAUAUAAAAGCAUAAUGUGGUGACGACAGACGAUGAUAACUUAAACCGACAUAGUGGGGAUUAGGAUUAAGUGUGGAUCGUACACCUUUGCGGAGUGCAAUUGGUUGACUAAGAGGAGACAAGUCCGCAGUAGGUGCAGAAUCUGAUGCGGGGCGUGAAUCACCUUGGCCUGAUGCUGGAUGUGGACGACGAUGAUAAGUCAAGAAUGGUGGAGCUGCAGAAGGUUGAACUGGAUUAUGUGGAAGAACUGGAGCUAUAGGUGGUGGAUCUACAACCGGAGCUGUAGGUGGUGGAACUGGAGCUAUAGGUGGUAGAGCUACAACU
rnacentral:lncRNA from 1 species